GACGAACGCUGGCGGCGUGCUUAACACAUGCAAGUCGAACGGAAAGGCCCUGCUUUUGUGGGGUGCUCGAGUGGCGAACGGGUGAGUAACACGUGAGUAACCUGCCCUUGACUUUGGGAUAACUUCAGGAAACUGGGGCUAAUACCGGAUAGGAGCUCCUGCUGCAUGGUGGGGGUUGGACAGUUUCGGCGGUUGGGGAUGGACUCGCGGCUUAUCAGCUUGUUGGUGGGGUAGUGGCUUACCAAGGCUUUGACGGGUAGCCGGCCUGAGAGGGUGACCGGCCACAUUGGGACUGAGAGACGGCCCAGACUCCUACGGGAGGCAGCAGUGGGGAAUAUUGCACAAUGGGCGGAAGCCUGAUGCAGCAGCGCCGCGUGCGGGAUGACGGCCUUCGGGUUGUAAACCGCUUUCGCCUGUGACGAAGCGUGAGUGACGGUAAUGGGUAAAGAAGCACCGGCUAACUACGUG
rnacentral:rRNA from 1 species